rnacentral:lncRNA from 1 species
CACUGGGUGGGGGGUGGGGGGGGAGGGGAUGGUCUUUGCCACCCUGCCUCAGCCUCCUGUGAGCAGGGCAGGUUCUGCAGUUGCUGGGUCCAUUGCCUCUUCAUUGCCUUGAAUCACCAUCUCACACAUUAACCUUUCUUAUUACAACUCAUUUCCAGCCACCUUGUCCUCAGGAGGCUUUCUCAUCCCCCCUCCAUGGAGACACUAUACCUUCCCAGGACCCCCUUUCUCUUGCAGCACAGUGCUACUGGAGCCAGGCUAUCGGGAGCCCCCACCAUCCCAGCAUGGCCCCUUACAGGAAGCAUGCCCACAGAGGGGCUGGAGGAGAGGGCUGCAGAGGAGUUGGCUUCUCCCAGUUGACCCGGGACUCAGCAGACUUUGCUUGCAAAGAUCGCCGUCACCUGUACAAGAGCACCAGCAAUCCUGUUAAUAGCCGGAGGGCAGUAAACAGAGGAAAAACUCAGUUCAAAACAAAUUUGUGUGAAAUUCCAAAGUAAGUUUUUGAUUAGAUUUUUUUUUUUUCCCGUACUUUGUGUAGGCCCUAAAGCGAUCAGCAAUGUCCUCGGCGGGAAGCAUGCUUUUGCCGCUGGCCGUUCUGCGUGCGGUGCAACCAGCAGCCCGCCCUGCAGCGGCAGUUUUGCAAACCGAUUUCUAAAAACUGGCAAAAAGUGGGGCUUCCAGGACUGCGCGCGACUGACUACUUAUCUGCAGUAAGCGUGUGCCAGCAGGGGAAAUAAAGCUAAAUGACUGCUUAAAUUUUAACUGGCA